GUACAAGAGCUAAAGUUUGUGGCUCCUUUUAAUAGUAAUGUUAAAUGUAAAAUCUUUUUAAUUGCUGGGAUACCCACUUUAUGGUGGACAAUCAGCAGGGACGUUAACGUAAGUUAACACCUUCAGAGACUAACCCGUUAGGGUGUAGAUUCUACUUAGAAUCGAAAAUAAGAAAUCCUUUUAGGAUUAAGAUAUAGUCCACAGACAAA
rfam:Shewanella sp. phage 1/40, complete genome.